rnacentral:rRNA from 1 species
UCGUAGGGUGACUCGUCUGGUUAACUCCGAUAACGAACGAGAUCCCGACCUCUCAUUGUCUGCAUGAUCGCUUUGUAGGUUCGACUCAUUGGUUCGCCAUUGAUGAAGGGCUGAGAUUGUUGUAGAAAAGUCAGAGGGACGAUGCUACGUCUAUAGUGCAUGGAAGAGCGGGCCAAUAGCA